rnacentral:misc_RNA from 1 species
GAUGAAGAACGUAGCGAAAUGCGAUAAGUAAUGUGAAUUGCAGAAUUCAGUGAAUCAUCGAAUCUUUGAACGCACAUUGCGCCCGCCAGUAUUCUGGCGGGCAUGCCUGUCCGAGCGUCAUUUCAACCCUCGAACCCCUCCGGGGGGUCGGCGUUGGGGAUCGGGAACCCCUAAGACGGGAUCCCGGCCCCGAAAUACAGUGGCGGUCUCGCCGCAGCCUCUCCUGCGCAGUAGUUUGCACAACUCGCACCGGGAGCGCGGCGCGUCCACGUCCGUAAAACACCCAACUUCUGAAAUGUUGACCUCUGAUCAGGUAGGAAUACCCGCUGAACUUAAGCAUAUCAAUAAGCGGAGGA